rnacentral:lncRNA from 1 species
GGGAAGGGAAAUUACGAAGCGGGUUUAGAAAGGGGCGCAUAAAAGAAUACUCAAAGAGCUUGAAUACGCGUGAAAUAUUCCUUAAAAGGAAAAAGGCAUAGUUCGCAUAAAAAGGGUACUCAAAGAACUUGUAUACGCGUUAUAUUCCUUAAAAGGAAAAAGGCAUCGUUAGGGGCUUCGCUAAAACAUUAUCAGAGUUUGCAACGGAAGGCGUAACUGAAAUAAUCAGUGUUUACAGCGGAAUGCAUAACUGAGAUACAUGUAUGAAGACAUGUAUCCUUUCUGAGCCUACUUUAAGUUCGACAAAAACUCCACUCAGCAACAACACUUCAUCGCCCAUCACAGCUCAACCUGCACAAACAUAAACAUCGAAGGGCUAAGUACAAGAGUACUUAGUGGGCAGUUGCCAAGCAUAACAUAACAUCAACAACAUCGCAUAAGAGGCAUAAGUUUCUUUCAAAUCCUUUGCUCUUUAAACAUUUCCAAAUUCAUAAACAGCAUGAGCGCAUUCUUCAUCAUUAACAAUCAUAAACACGCAUCGUGUCGUGGAGAAGGCCUUCCCCAACGAACACGGGCAUCGCACCGUGAGAGGGGGCCUCCCUCAGCGGUCACGGCAUCGUACUAUUGAGGGAGGCCUCCCCCAAUAGACGCUGUAACACUGGCAUACUGGCAUCGCGCCGCGAGAGAGGCCUCUCUCAGCGGACACGGGCAUCGCGCCGUGAGGAAGGCCCUCCUCAACGGACACGGCAUCGUACUGUUGUGGGAGGCCUCCCCAACAGACGCAAGCAUCAAACAUAAGCAUAACUAUCAGCGUAAGCAUUCAAGCGUAAAUAGUGUAAUCAAGCGUAAAUUACAUAGGGCGUAAAUAGUAUAACAGCAUAGCGUAAAUCAUUUAACGUGCAGCUAAUAAGCUAAUCAUUUAGCGUAAAGCUAAUAAAGCAUACCAACUUGAAGAUCCAAUUUGCAUUUUAAAGCAUAACAUGCAUAGCUUUUAUUUACGCGUAAGAAAUUGCCCACCUGAUAGCAAAGUUUUGCUAAGGUACUCUAACUCCUUGUGUAGUUCUUACUCUCGCGCUUGACCUUAAUCACGAGAAUAUAAAAAUAAGACAUUGCCUCGAGGAAAAUUUUAAUUAAUGAGAAAGCGUAAUUUAACUAUGCAUGAAUCUGUAUGCAUGAACUAAAUCUGAGCGAUAAUCGGGAAUUCUACUAUUAAUCCUCGUUAAUAGAUUUAGCUAAUUCUCGUCUAGCGCGGUCGAAUAAAACUGUGAUUCUUCCUUCCUCAUCGGAAUAUUCUAGUCGUGAAUAAACCUCGCAUUUGUACUUGAUUGAAAAAAAACUAACUCGGCUUUAAACGAGGUGUGACCUUGUAGAAAUUAUCGGGCUUUUCGAUAGAAGCAUCAUUACUAGCGUAACCUCAAAUAAUUAAUAGGCUCAAAAGAGAGUAGCCAAUUAAUUAAAUAAACCAGUGGCUUAAAUGAAAUAAAUAAUAAUGGCUUGCUUUAAAGUCGGAAGUCCAAAAACAUUAAUUAAUAAACUGGGCGGCUCAUUUAUUGAAUACGAAUCGGCUCACCACUGAUAAAUAAUUGGGCUCCAUCAAAAAUUGAUACUGCUAGGCUUAGCUCAAAGGAGUAACUUCAGCUCAAGCUUUAAAAGAAUUAAAGCCCAACUUAAAAAGUCUUCGACCCAAAACAAUUAAAAUAGGGGUCCAAAUAAUAAUUAAUGUGGACUGAAAAGAAUUAAUCUUAGCACAGAAAGGCAAUUUAAUCGGCCCAAAAGAAAUUAGGGGCCCAACGAAAUAUAAAUGGGAUUAGAAUAAUAGCCCAUCGUAAAAUAAACAUCAGCCCAAUCUUUAAAAUAAUUCAAGCCCAAUAGAAAUAAUGGGAAUGGCCAUUUAAAGACUGGCCCAUUUCGAAUUUAUUUGUGAAAGCCCAAGCAAUUAAAAUAAAAUCAAGCCCAGCUUAAAAUAAUUCGGCCCACAAUAAAUUAAAAGGAAAAGCCCAAUUUCCUUAAAACAAGCUCAAAAAUUCGGCCAAUCUUAAAUAAAAAGAAGCCCAAAUCAUUAAACACACAAGCUCCAAAAUUUUCGGCCCAACUUAAAAAAAAAUACAAGGCCCAAAGCUGGAGCCCAACCCAACUCAUCAACCUCUCUCUCAUUUCAAAACUCUCGGCUCUCUCUCUCGUGAUUCUCAUCUUUCUCUCUCUUUCAUCUCAAACAGCCGCUCAAGACCUCUCUCUCUCUCUCGUGCUCUACACGAGCUCCGCCGCGAACAGCUCCGGCGAGGCCGCGCCGAUCUCAGCUUCACGAUCCCUCUCCUCUCUCAAAAACUCGAACCAGACGCCGCCCAGCCCCUUCCUCUCCAGCCUGUUCGCUCGGCGCUCAAUCAGCCCUCCUUCUCCGGCCGCCUUCUCCGGUCAGCGUCGACUGCCGACGUGUCGAACCCCGGCGACGUCCUCUAUCUCUCUCCGCGCAGAACUCAGUCGAUCCCUAUUUCUGGAAUCAGCGCCGCGGUCACAUCCUCGUCCGAAUCCGGCGACUCAAACGGCGCCGGUCGUCGUCUGGGAGUGGCUGCUGCUUCGCCUGGAGUCGCCGCCGGCUGGAGUUGCAGAGCUCCGACAGCCGCCUCUACCUUCUCCCUCUCGUUCUCAGAUCCGAAGACCCACUUCGUUUCUCCAACAGUGGAACCCAAUCGAGCCAUAAGAUCUGGAACUCAAGGCCGCUGUUUCUUCGUUCGAAAACCGGCGAUUGAGUCGGCGUUCUUUCAUCCGGCAGUUGGGGUUCGCCGUUGCCUUGGGCAGCCGCUGCUCGGCUCGGUACCGGUCAAGGCAGUCAGCCUUCCCUCCUCGCCCCGACGUCAACAGAGGCCCCGUCGUCGCCACCAGUGGAGGCCGGCGAGUUUAGUCCUAGUCACGAUUAUCGUCGUCUUCAAAUUCAGAGCAGGCAGUCGCCCUUCCUCUCAAGCUAAGUCUUUUUCUUACUCAAUUAUCUCGGUUCUUAACGUGAAUUAGGCAAGAAUAAAGUGUAAUAUCUUCAUGCUUUGCAUAAACUCAAAUUAUGCUUGUUUAGACUACAUAUGAACUGUCACUUGCUCAUAAAGACGUAGUUGUUGUGCUUACUUAAGUUCAAGAUGCUAUAAGGUCUUCUAUGAUUGAACUGAUUAUGCCCAUGUUUUGAUAUGAAUGCUCAUUGGUAUGAAAAAUAGGAUAGCAUAAUUACCUGUAAUUGCUUGUUGUUGGUGGCUGUUUGUUGCUAUUGAAUUCAAUGGG